CCUACUGGCUAGUACAGUGGUAACACGCUAGCCUCGCAUACUAGAGGUCGACGGAUCGAGCCUCGUCCAGGCAAGA